GAUGAAGAACGCAGCGAAAUGCGAUACUUGGUGUGAAUUGCAGAAUCCCGUGAACCAUCGAGUCUUUGAACGCAAGUUGAGCCCGAAGCCAUUAGGCCGAGGGUACGCCUGCCUGGGCGUCACACGUCGUUGCCCCCCCAUCUACUCCUUCGGGAUUGCGGGGGGCGGAUGAUGGCCUCCCGUGCGCCUCGUCGCGCGGUUGGCAUAAAUGCCAAGUCCUCGGCGACGCACGCCACGACAAUCGGUGGUUGCGAAACCUCGGUUGCCCGUCGUGUGCGGUCGUCGCGCAUCGAGGGCUCGAAAAAAUUGCCGGGCUCCGGCUCGGCUUUCAACGCGACCCCAGGUCAGGCGGGGUUACCCGCUGAAUUUAAGCAUAUCAAUAAGCGGAGGA
rnacentral:misc_RNA from 1 species